AGAACUGCCCCAGGCCGGCCGCCUAGUCCCGCGUGUAUAUCCGGGAGCCGCAGACUCUGAGCAUUCUGUAGAGGGAGGGGGAAUAUUACCCGAAGGAGCUACAGCCACUGAGGCAGCUCCAGAGAUAGGGGCUGCGGAGCAAUCUUCAGGCUCACAGCCCAAGUUCAUAGAUGAGAAACAGCAAGUGACAGAGCAGAGGAACGGCUGGCCCAGCCAAUCCUGGAGCUGCUGUUGCAGCACUUGUUCCCCAAACAAGUGCUCCUACAUUCUGAUGACUCAGUGUAUCGGGAGCCGGGAGAUGGAGCUCUCAGCAGAGUGGCCAGGAUGUUCUGUCAACAUGAAAGCUACAAAAACAGCUCGGGGCUCUGAGCUGAUCCUUAGCCUGGGGUCAUUUUCAGGGAGGGCUGGACAGAGAAGGCGGCCACCGCCCGGGCAUCAGGAUGGGAGCGACACCAGAGGACUCAGGAGAGUGCAGCUUGCUCUGUGAGUGGGUGACAACCUCUUGGCGACUCAGGCUCAGCUGAGGAUGGUGCCAGUGUGCCGGAGACAGCCGUCAUACUGCCGGAUAGAGUGGCUCACUUGCAUGUAUUUGGAACAAAAAAAGGAGAUGCCUGGCAGCCCCGCUCUCUGCAGUGCUGUUGAGCCACCAAUUUUUGUGGUUUUGUGACCACAAGUGCUGACUGAUGCGACAUGACCCCAGUCUUGUCAGUGAAUCAUCACCAGGCUGCUUACUGGAAACUGGAUGCAGCAAGGAAAUAGGAUUUAACCGCUCUCUGCCUCCCAGGUAAGUCCAGUGUGGGCUGCUCCCUCCAGCCUUCCCCCAUCCUCCUUCCUUCCCACGAACACCAUUUUCCUUAUUCCGCCGGGGAAUCCUCAGACGUCUCCAUUCAGAAUCUCCCAAACGAUUGUUCUCUUUUUUGCAUUCUUCUCCUUCUGGCUUUUCUGUGUGGGGUUAGUAACCAGCACAGGGUUGGGGGCAGAAUGGGCAGCUGAAGUGGUCGGGCUGUGCGGACGUGUGGGAGAUAGCUGGGUAGUGUUGCUGGGUGUGGCAGUUGGCAGAGCAUUUGGGCCUCCCACAGUAAUAGAAACUCUCUUUGGCUCCAGCAUCCAGCAGGAGGUUCUGGGUUUAACCCCUCGGUAAUCCUGGGAGCCUUCCUGGUGCCUGGGGAUUCUCUCCCCUGUGUAGUCUCAGUGGAUGGCCUGUCUUAACUCUAGAUACAUUUUGCCUUGAGGGGGCUUAGUCUAGGUUGGUGGUCUGGAGUUUGGACUGGGCUGAGCAGUGAGCUUUGGGACUCUCCCUAAUUUUGGGGUUUCUUUGAAUGAGCCACUUUCUUCCUCUAGGCCUUCAUUACCUUUGCCUUAAAAAACAAAAUCCCUGGUCCAGUAAGCCAUUGCAAAGCAUCUCUAGGAAGUUGACAAAGAAAUGCUUUUCUUCUGCCUCACUUGCUGCCGAUCACAGUAAUAGCAAUGGUGAUUAAAAAUGAAAAAUGAUGACGGCCUGCAGAAUCAGGGAGGUCAGUGGCAUCAUUGAUACAAUUCACAAAGCAGACUCUCGGUGCCCACACAUCACUAGGAAGUCUCUCUCCUAUCGAGUAGAUGACUACAGCAUUCUUGGCCAGUAAAGCCAGUUGGAAUUAGCCAACAGCAGAUUGGUCUGGGCUCUAAAGAUAAAAGGAAUUAUGUUGGGUAAUUUUCGGAGGUACCUAUGGGAUCCUACCUCUGGCCACACAGUGGUCGCCUCUCUCUGCUCAUAUGUUUCGGUGGGGGUGGGGGGUUCCUCUUCCCCAUGCUGCUCCCGUUGCUAUCCAGGGAAGAUUGGCCAAUUCUGCUUCCUGUUAUUUCUUCUUCUCCUCUGUCCAUUUGAGGUGAGUCUCUAGGUUGGCUGUGAACAGCCUGAGGAACCCAGGGCUGUUUGGAAGAAUCUGAUGUCUCUUCCUUCAAGGACCCUGACAGGUCUCAGCCCUCCAGCAGUACUGCAGUGAGGGAUGGCAGGGGGUGUUGGAGUGGAGAGAUAUCGACUUGGGUGCAGCUGGGGAGACUAAAAGGAGUGAGCCAAGUCCCUCAAGAAGUGUUGGCUAGAGUCUGGCCAGCCCUGGCUGUAGGGCUGGAGCCAGACGUAGCUGCUGGCUGUGCUUGGGAGUCUCAGCCCUCAUAUGUGCAGUGUGUCCCUGGGCAUGGCUCUUCGUGAUCCCCACUCCCACGAAUAGCCCUGUCCUUGGUUAGAUUGGGAAAACCAGGGUGGGAAGUAAAGGGGAGGUUGGUUUUGCUCGUGGUCAUGCAGUUAUCUCUCUGGCCUCUGAUGUUUCCAGAAUUGGGAUUGGUGCUUCCCUGCUGAUUUUCCUAUUUUUGUCCCUCAUCUGGUUCUUUUCCUCCUUGCUCACCAGCCUGGGUUCUACACACAUGACAUGGGGCAUUGUGUGUUCCCAAUGAGGAUAGCAGAACAGUUGGUAUCUCCUGAGAGAGGGGCCAGCAUAUCUGGCACUUUUUUCUUGACCUUUGAAUUUCUGAGGUCUGGGAGUCAGGAGGCAGCAUGGGGCCUCUCCAUCCGGGAUCCAGCAGAGGUUAACAGAGUUGGUGGCUCUGGAGCUGAGGUGGUGUGGCUUGGCUGGGAGUUGUGGGGGAGAGGCCCUGCCAGGGGCCCUGAUUGGUCAGUACCUUCUCUAUUCCAUUGAAUCCUGGUCCGGUCAGCUCUGUGAAUUGUUUAAUGCAUAUCUUGGCUCUGUCCCCUGGCUCGAGUGUCCCUAAGGCUGCAGCCACAGCUUUAGAGAGGAUCUGUACCUUGUGCUGGUCACUUUUUUUGGGCGUGUUACCUCCCUCUGAGAUAUGUAAGAGAUACCACCCUUUCCCACCAGCCGGCUGUCUGUGGGAGGCCCUCAUUUUGCUUUGCUUUUCUGAGACUUGGAGUGACUGUGAGGAAAGCAUGGACUGAGUUUGCUUUCUUGCUGGUUCCUUCCACAAGAGCUGCUCAUGGGCUGAUAAAGCCAGAGAACACCUCCAGGGCCCCAUGGCCUGUGCGGAGCCUGGUACCAUAGUGUCAAGCCUACAGGGAUGGACUGGGGACAUGGGGGCAGAUAGAGCCACGUGGGGAGGUGGUAUGUGUGGUUAGAUCACAGGAGCAAGUCCAGGAGGGUGUGGGAGGACAAGUCCAGUGCUCAGCCAGGGCUGCCUGUCAUGGCCCAGGAUGGAUGUGUGCAUCUCCUGUGAAGGAUUUGCGUCUGAGUGCCUGGUACUGAAGGUAGGAUGGUGCCCCGAUCAGGGUCUAUAAUGAGGCAUGAAGGUAUGAGAUGGGCAUCAGAGUUGUUGGUCCAAGGGAAACUGACCUUUUUAAAGGGCUCUCCUCUCCUUAUCUGAUUUCAUCCUCAGAACAACCAUAUGACAUAGGGAUCACUUCCCUUUUAUAGUUAAAGAAACAGAUUAAGUGACUUAACCCAAGGUUAUGCAUUUGGUAAGUGAGGUUGUUGAGAUUUAAAUGCAUGCACUUCUUAUUCCAAAGCCUCUACGUUAUCUUUACUCUUUUGGGCUGAAGUCAGACAUUUUUGUGAACUAAGAUUCUCAGAGGACUGAUGUGAACCAGAGUGAAAAGGCAGACACCCGAAGGAACUUUCCAGUCACUGGGGACGGUUGUGCCGCAUUCCUUUAGGGGGAGGCAGGGCAGACCCAAAUGCCCUUUGGUAGCCAUGGACAGGCAGAGCUGAGUAAGGCCAGUACAUGGCGUCUGCUGCUGUGUACGGAGCCUCUGCUAUGUGCCAGGGACUGUGCCAGGCGCUAGAGAUACAGAACUUGACAAAGCCAACUUUCCACUUUCAUGGGGCAUACAUUCUAGUGUGGAGAGACACCGCUAAUAAUGAUUUUUAAAAAGAAUUUAAAAAUGUACAGGGUAGACAUAUAUGGAGAUUGUGUGGGGAUGAAAAGGGGGACCCCCCACACACAUAAGGAGGAGAAUUCAGAUGAUGGUCAGAGGGUUCUAGAGACUUAGGACCUCAGCCAUCUGAAGCCACAUCAAUUGAGCUUUCCUUCAGGGAGUUAGGACUGACACAAACUAACCCCCUCUUUUUUCCUAAUAACUUGGGAAAUCCAUCCAAGGUCCCCAUGGCUUACAGGAACUUGUCGUGAGUCAGGGAUCAAGGUGGAGUAGAUGUCAAGCCUUUGGUCUCCGGCAGACUGGUUCUCUCCUGUCUGCCAUGGUUGCUGUUGGCCUUCUGCCUCACACCCUCCCAGGCACCAGCUGACUUCUUUCCUCAGCCUGGUCACUGUGCCCCACACUUGUCCAUGCAGCACAGGGAAACGUGCAGGUUAGGUCUUUGCCGAGCCAUUGGUCAAAUGUUCCUGCAGGAGGCUGGUUCUGAACUCAGCCUGUCCUGCCAGAACGAGCCGUUCCCAGAGCUAAUCGUCUCACGAUAGGGAAGGGAUGGGCACCAGGCAUAGAGAAGUGACCUGUGCCAGAUGCUUGGUUGAGCUGUGUCUUGAGAGGCGGAGGCAGGUUGGUGGUGCUGGGGACAGGGCAGGCAUGUGUCAUGUGUUCAGCGCAUGUAGCUCCAGGGCUCGGGACUUGUUUACUUGGUGGAAGAGGCAGCGGACCUGCGGAGUCAGGCCAUGUGAUUGUUGGCUCUUUGGCUGAUCAUGGACAGCUGACCCGCCGGACUGCACACACUGCCAUCUGCUGCCAGGGGUCUGAAGUUGCACAGGGAUGAGGUAGUGUAGUUGGGGGUGCUCAGGGAGGAGGAGGGUCAGGAAAGUGGGGUUUGUGUUGCUCUGUGUUGAGUCAGCCGACCCUGAUUCUGGUCCUAGCUCUUGUUGGUAAAAACUCACUCACUUUCCUCCUUUCAGCUCCAGUUUCAUUAUCUAUGAAAUGAGGGGAUGGAACCAGAAUCUCUUUGGAGGUUCCAGCUGUAUCCUGGGGCCUCCCUGAAUGUUCAUGGAGAUGUUCCUUAGCCAGUAAUUCAAGAUGAGGAAAACUAGGCCCAGGUUUCCACAAGAGAAGGGGAGGGAUCUUGAUGACCUGUCUCAGAGCGGCUGAAGUGGUACUGUUGGAAUUAGGGUGGGUGGGUGGGAGGAGGUAGUUUUUAAAGACCUCCCAGAAGUGGAAGCAGAGGGCUGGAGGUUUCGUGAAGGUGUUGAUGAGGAUCCACCGGGUGGUAGGGGACAUGGCUACGCGCUUCCCCCGGGAGGCUUGUUGGAGAUGGGUUUAUGUGGGAGCUGCUGGGGGUGCCUGCUGUCCUGCAAGGGGCUGACCCAAGGGACCCUGCUCUAGGAAAGAUGCUCCGUCCUGUCUGGCCCUAAACCCUGGAGAGAGAAUGCAGCUGUGGUUUGAGGGAGGGUCUGUGCCCCUUGCUGUCAGGAAGUUUUCCUUUAUAUUUAGCCUUCUCUUUUCAUGUAUUUUUUGAGGCCCUCGACUAAAAAAUUAAAUUUAAUUUUAAAAAAUAACAAUGAAAAAAAUAAAAAAUAAACAAAAAUAUCUCAGAGCCACUGGUUCCAUUUUGGCUUUUUAGUCUUGAGUCACUCUUAAAAAGAUAGCAAAAUAAAACACAUGCAGGAAAGCCGAAGGUCCCAGGCCCAGCCAGAUGGGGGCUAGGAGUGGCUGGGACUCUGGCCUAGCUUCUCCAUGGCAGCGUUAGUCCCAGACGUACACCACUUCUGCAAGGCUGUGUGGGUAGGAGCCCCUGGGGCUGAGGGGGCACAUUGUGCAAUCUGCUAAGCAGAAUGUAGAGUUUUAAAAUAGCUACCUUUCUCCAAGACACUAUCUGCUUGCCGCUUUGUGGGAUGUUUACCUGGGAUUAAUAAUAGCUGAGUGCCACCCCACUGCCAGUAUGGAAUAGCAAACAGCGAUCUGGGCUAGGACUCAGGCAGGAGAGGAAUGGAGUAAUAACCAUCGUAUCAGCUCACAUAGUUCUUUUCAUACUUGCUGGCUCAUUUGGUCCUCACACAACCCUGAGAGGGUAGGUGGUCUUAUCCUUGUCGUUGGUAAAACUGAACCUGAGAGUCAAUCCUGCCAAGAUCUGACUGCUUGUAGCCGCUUCUCGUGGGUCUCCCAUCUAGGUCCUCUGACUUCAGCUGUUAUUUCUCUGGGUUCUGACUAGUGGGGCAGGGACAGGAGUAGGGGAGUGGAGUCUUUGGCAGUUUCCUUAAUUUCUGAAGGCCUUAGAGGGCCUAGAGAUGCCUUUUCUAUGUGUUGAAUGGGAAACGGAACCUCAGCAUGUCCAGGUUCUCCAACUCUCUGAUUCUUCAGACUUCUUGGAGCUCUUGUGAGAACUGGCUUGCACUUUUUGGCUGGGAAGCCAGCCACUCACCAUGUGUUCUUGGAGAGGUUUCCUGUAUUUGGAAGCUUCUGGAAUAUGUGAUGCAUCAAACCACUGUGACACAUCUGUAUGGCACCUCAUGCCUAUGCACACAGGCAUGCUUCUGCUGAGUGCAGCUCACUUAGAGAUGAGGCCCAGUGUAGGGUUUUUGAAAUUUUUCCAACACAUUUGUAAGAGAUGCCCUGAGCCUUGCCCAGCAUGCAUGUUGUGUGUAUGCUACCUGUUUGCUGGCUAAUGUACAGCGCCUGCUGGAAGCCUUGGCUAAUGUACAAUGUAAAGUAAGGGACUAGAAACACUGGCUUUAGUUCUGAGUGUCUGCUUCAUGAUUGACUUGAAAAAGUAGGGCUUACCCACAGAGAGAAAGGUGGGUAAGAGAACUCGUGGGUGUCAGUUUUCCUUAAAGGCAGAGCAUAAUCCCCCACUCUUUAUAAGGGCUGGUAAGGCAGAGUAUUGGACAGCAGGACUUCUUGGCCAGUUAGCCCUCUUGAGUGACCUUUGUUUAAAUAGACCCAGAACUUGUAUGAAGGAGGAAAUAAUGGUUUAUCUUUAUUUACAGCGGAUUUAGCCAUGAUGGUUUAGGCUUUUUCUGGGGGUAUUCCUUUAGGACAGUUGAGGUUGGACAGGGGCAGCAUGCAUAUGUGUCUCUAAAUGUCUGUCCUUUGGUAUUUCCUGAAUGCAUCCUUGGCUCAUACUGAAACCCUGUGAUGGGGAAUCCACAGCGGAAUUGUUUUAGUGGAUAAAGCCUUCUGUAGCUUCAUGUGUGAAGAUUUGUCAUGUUGGAUCCAGUUCAUUCUGUCCACUUGAAGGAUGGAAAAGAGAGUGGGCAGAACUUGCAGCAAGGAGAGUGAUUUGGGCUAGACUUCUGGGAGAACUGUGCAUCACCUCUGCUGAGGGUUCCUGAGGAAAGAUGAAGCCUCUUUAUUUGAGGUAGGAGACUCGGUGUCCUCCACAGGAUCCUCCCAGUCCCAAGUCUGUGGCACUUUGAGACAGUCCCUGGAACAGCAUGAGGUUUGGGUGCCAGGAUCUAGAGCAGGCAUUUCUCUCCAUCUUUCCCAUCUGUCUUCAAGACAGGCCCAAGCUGGAUGCAAUUGAGGGGAUGCAUGGGCAGGGUACACCAAUGUGGUCAUCGAAUCUGGAACUUUGACCUUGUUUCCCUUUGCAGAGAGAACUUCUGGCACUGAUCUUAUAGGAACUGGUGUUAUUUGCAUAUAAAAAAAGAGAAAGGCAUGUUGUCCCUCAUCUUUUCCAGGAAAGAGUGCUGAGCUGCUCUAAUCCUAUGGUGGGGAGGGAGGAGGGCCGUGUAGAGGACGCAAGGCCAGACAUGGUUUGCUGGGAAGAAGGUAGGAGGUGGGAGAGGAACAUCCCAGGGCAGGCCCACAACUCUGGGAGCCACAGACAUUGCCUGCUAUACUAAAGGCAAAGGGAUGUGUUCAAAUAGGCCUACUAUUUAGCGGUAACCCACAGUCUGAAAUAAAUCAGUUAAUGGCUAAAUGAGAGUUGUAUUAAAUAUGGAAAAUCAUAUUUUUUGUGUGUCAUCACCACCUACAGAUUUAGCAUCAACAGGCCUGAAAGGCUGAGGAUGCUGAAAUGGGCCCUGUCCGUAAGAUCAUGCUUAUUUUAUAAUGACUUUUUGUCUCUUUUCAUUACUAUUUCCCACUCUUAUUCCUUAGGUCUACGUGAAUAUUUAUUUAUGCAGUUGUGUUAUUUCCUUGGGGUACAGUUCUUCCAGUGUCAUUGGCAUCAAUGAAUAUGUGACUUUGAUUUCAAGUGUAAACAAACCACUGGUUCACGGCAGGGACAAGCCAUCUCUGAGACAAGGGCUCCAGCAGCUGCCUACAGAUGCCCUUCCCCCAAUAGCCCUGGACUGUUUCGGCCAGACGCCUGAGACGAGAGUCAAGGGUGUUCUUGCAGGGACCUGCCCAACGCUAUGUCAUGUGUCCUGCCUGGAGGGUGGUGCUCACACAUGCAUCUUCCAGCCUUAUUAGCUGGUACUGCUUUUCAGCUUGACCCGAGGAGUGGUAUUGGAAGUUUGAGACCGUACAUCCCUUGCUAGGUGAGAAGGGGGUCAGAGAGGUCAGGCACAGACAGAGAAGGGAACGCAGGCUCCUGGCCACUAGCCUCUCUCAAGACAGGUGAACUUUGUGUUAAGCGAACUCAUUUAAUAUUUUGGGCCUAAUAGAAGUUAUUUGUAUUUUCUCUCCUCUCUUUUCCCUCCUCUCUCUCACUCACCCUCCCCCCACUCCCCAGCCUCCAAAGAAUUUAAUCUGCUGGACAACAAACAAUACUGUUAUAAAACUUUGAAAACAAGAGGGCGCGGCCUCCCUGACAAGGAGAAGGGCAUGUUGGGUAACGGCCUGAGGGAGCGUGCCAGGCCUGAGAUGGAGCCGGGCGAGAGCCCAGUUGGCUGGGUACCUGGGCGCCUGCCCCUGCAUAGCCCACUAGCCGCGCCAUCCCCAGGCCAGAGGGGAAGGAACCAAAACAAAAUGGGGGGCAGAGAAACGCUUGAAAAGGGAAGUUGCACAUGUUCCCCUCUCUCUGAUCUGAUGGGAAUGCACUAGACUGUGAAACUUCCUCCUCCACCUCUUCUCCCGAGUCCCUCCCUCCCUCUUACCCUCCUUCCUCCUCUCUCCUCCCUCCUUUCUCCUCCUUCCUCCUCCUGCUACUCACUGUUCUUGAGUCUGGCAGACAGAGGUCCUGAUAGCAGAAUGAGGCUGGAAUAGCACCAUAGGUGCAGCUACCAGCUGGGCCAGCCAAAGAGGAAGGAGAGAAAGUGGGCUUGCAGUUGGCUUUGGAUUCAAAUCUACCCUCUGUCUGGCCCAGCCUCCCUCCAUUCUAUUAGGGAAGUGGAACUACAUCACGCCACAGGGUGUGCCCAGUCCAUGUGUGUGGACCAGGUGUGUGCCCAGGUACUGGGGAGAACUGCCACUCAGAGAUUAGUUCAGGAAGCACCCUGGGCUUCCUGGUGCCCCCCUUGGGCUGUGCUCUGCUCUGGGGAGAGUGUUUGACUUGUUGAAAUGCUCUCUCCUUUGAGAUGCUGUGCUCUCCCUCCAGGGAGGAGCAGAGGCUGUGCUGCAAGAGGCUGGGGCAUGUCUCUGGAGGAGCUCUUGGGAACAGGAACGUGCUUCUCCCAGCGAGAGCAGCCAUGCCGUCUUGUGAGUGUGGUGCCUGGUAGGAUACUGCAUCUGUUAGUUACUUCCCAGUGGCUGAAGGAAGUGGUCACCAGCUCUGCCUGGGGGAGGUGGGGGAGCUGGGCUUUGGGGCGUCUCCCUCCCUACCUCCAGAGUUAGGUUUCACCUGAGACUGUGGUUUCACUUUUGACUCCAUCUUCACUGAGUCAAGCAGAUGAUUUAGGAAUGACCAGGGAGCAGCAUUGGUGGUUUGCCUUUGGAUCUGCAUUGGUUUGGACCCAUGAACUCUGUGGUGGGCAUUGUGUUUGUGUAAUAGACCAUUGGUAUGCUCAUUUUUCCUCUUGCAGAAAGCACUAGCUUUCUUGAAAGCAGUUCAGGGACAUGCCCAUCCUUCUGUGCCAGAGCUGAGCCCUUCUACUGGGGGAACAUGGAGACACGCGAGCUCCAGUCUUCAUUCCACUCCUCCUCCUUCCCUUUGCCCUCCACUGUCUCCUGCUGUCCCCCCAGCUCAUCCCAGGGGCAGGGUAACCUUGGUGCAUCCUCCCAUCCAGCCAGCAGUCCCGACCCAGGGCCCCCGUGCCUGGACUGAGUCUGGGGUUUAUGUCAGUAGUGUUAAGGGAGGGAUGGAAAACUGAACUUUUAGGAGUGCAGCUGCCUAGGAACAUAGACCUCCAUACCUCUGACGCAGGGGAAACCAGAAAAACCGAUGCUGGGUCCACGUAGGCUUGGAAGGCUGUUACUUUUUGCCUUCUUACCUGAAUAGGAAUUUGAGGGGCACUGUGGGUUUGGAGGAUGUGAUUCCCACACUGGGGCUCAGGGCCUGGGAAAUGCAGUGGUCCCUGGGUUCUGAGUCCUCCUUUGAAGGCCACCCUGCCAGAAAGGAAGAGCCUGAUGGAGGUUUCUGGGGACUUUGGGCCAGCCGGUAACUCCAUGCUCCCUCUGCUCCACCCUUGGCCCCUCAUGUGUAUACCAUUCCUUUUAUCACCCUUCCCUCUGAUUCACAGCCCCCACCCUGACAGCUAAAGACAGAAUGCCCAGGCUGCUGCCUAGAAUGACAGGAAGCUGGACUGCCCUUUCAGUUUAUACAUGCAAUGGCCUGGGACUGUCUCUUGAGGGCAAGACAUUCCCCUUUUACAAAAGAGCCUUCCCCAGGCCCCUCUCUCACCAAGAUGAGCUCUUCCUUGCUGCCAGGAGCCCUGAAAUCAGCAUUCCCAGAGGAAAGAAGAUGGCCAUCUGGGCUUGGCUUCCGGCUCCCCCCAUCUGGCUGGAACACACAUCAGUCACGUUUCCUGCCCAAGCCCUCCGAGCAUUUGAAUGUGCUGUGAGCAGCCUACCUCAGCCUCCUCUCUUUACACAUGAAGACACUGAGGCCCAUUCAGGGCAAGUGGCAGGUCCCUGUUCUCAGAGUUGGGGCCAAGCAGGUAUUAAAACCAUUGUGUUCUGAUUCACUGUGUGCCCAAGCAGAUUAAUGCCCUGGUGUGAGGUCGAGAAGCCUCCAGGUAGAAUGUGGGGACAGAAGUGGACCAGGCUAGAGUAUAGCUCCCACACCUUUCCCAUGCGUGGCAGCACUCGUAAGACUGACAUGCCCACCCUUCUGGAUGGGUGGUUUUCCUCCCCAGACAGCCCUGCCAACCCUUUCACCUUCAGCCAGUUUGUUUGGAGUCAUUAGGCUGAGGUGGGUAAAACCCAUCACCCUCCUUGGAUGGCAGAGCUCUCAGCAGGCUGGGAUUUUCAUGGGCUGCCUUCUUACAGGUCUAGGUGGCCUUCAGGCAUGGUGCCAGGGAAAGCAAGCCCCUUCCAGCCCUUACCAAACUAACUGGCUGCUUCCUAGUAGGGAACAGCCACCAGCUUGUUUCAGCGAAGAGUCAUUGCUCAGCUGAUUCUGAGAGGAGAAAACUGGUUCUGUUGGGAGGGCUGAGACCUGAAGGACCCCUUUUAUCCAGUGGAAUUGGAAAGGCAAAGGAUUUCAAUACUAACAUGAUUUUUUUCUCCACUUCUUUUAGAGUGUUUAAUUAAAGUGAUGCAUUGUUAAUGGCUUCUUAUCUCUUCUUCCAGAGAGUAAAGAGUUAAAUUUUAGAAUCCAGGAGUGGGGACCCAGACUGUGGCUUCUGUUAACUCCCUCAGUGGCAGUGGCGUCCUGCUAUGCACAGCCCCUCUGCUGUACUCCGAAUGGUCCCUUACGGGUAGCAGGAGAGACAUUAAAUAAUCACACUGAUGACCAAGUGAGAUAAGUGGUUUUUGAAGGAAAGAACUUGAGGCUGGCGAGGACCACUUAACCUUCUAGCAAGGGCUGGACUCAGGGAGGCUUUCCUGAGCUGCGGGGAGGAUGACAGGUUCCCUGGAGUGGUGGUGGGUGGGGGCGGGGCUGAGGGGUGGUAGCCAAGGGAGGGUGAAGGAGAGUAUUCCAGAAGAGACAACAGCUUAGGCAGGCAGGACCUCGCCAUGGAGGAAGGUGCUUUCUGAUCACUGCGGGACACCUGUGUGAUAGCUCAUAGGGAGGGGGUACUGGUAACUAAAAGUUGAUAAGGAAGAGUGGCUAAAAUGAAAAGCAGAAAAGUGAGAAUCUCAUCAAAUCCCCUCAUUUGACAGGAUUUGGACUCCCAGUAGUAACUGUCCUUAAACACUCACUCCUGACCUUACAACCCUGGCUGUUACCUGGUUAACAAGCCCCAGGUGUUGGCUACAGGUGUCAUCACUGAGAGCCCUUGUGUGCAGAUCUGCCCCAGCUCUCCCACCUGUGACUGAGGCUAGCAAGUCCCCCGUGGGCUGUAGAGCCUAGCGCUGGUGUCAGAAUCGCUUGUUGCAGGUUCAUCUUCAGUGUCUUUCCCACAGCCACAUGCUGGGGAAAGACGGCAAAGGCGCUAGAGGAGCAGGAGAACAAAGCAAGCUGCCCCAGACCACCCGGCUUUCGCAGAACCCAGAUGAUGCUCCUGUCUCCCCCUAAGUAUAACGUGUUAUGUAGUCAGUAUGAUCCCAUUCAGUGCAGAAGUAUCGCCUAGGAAUUUCCUGCCCCACCCACCCUGUUUUGUUCUUAAUGAAGUUCAAGAACAAAAUGAGAUGAUAGUCAAGUUAUGGAGCAGGCUGCAGUGGAUACAAGGGCAGAAACACAGUCUUUGGAGUUAGACCUGGGAUCUGCAUUGAUUGGUUGUGUGACUGCAGACAAGUUAUUUAGCCUCAUUAAGGAUGAAUUUCUUCGCAAAAAUUGGAAUAAUACCUGCCCCAUACGACUGUUGUGAGAAUUAAACACCGCAACUUUUGAUGUUCAAAUUCUAUUUCUUCUCCUUCUAGCAACACAUACUGUUAGUGCCAGGAACCAUAAAAAUUAUAAGGCUGUAUCUAGAGGCCUGAAAGGAAGCUAAAAUAUACAGUGUCUACUCUGUCUCUUUUCUCUUGGUUAUGGUAUCAGAGGAAAUACACAUAUUUUCUUAGCUUCAAACCACCAAAAAAGAUGAUGCAGUAAGGAGAUGGGAAAUCUAAUUUGGAAUACAGUGUGCAAAUCUUAUUUUCAAGCAGACUUUGAAAAUAAAACUCAAUUCUUACGUUAGAGGAUUAUCUGCUUAAUACAAUUAUAGGGUACCAGUUUUUGAAGUCACAUCGGGGUUAAAUAAGAUUGCAGGUUCAUGGGGUCAUAUUUGAAUGUUCUGAUACUUACAUAUGGGGUGGGAAGGAGGAAUGCAUGCUUUUCUCAAGUUAAGACACAUAAAAGAGUUGUCCUGGCCCAGGUGAGACUCGCCUUUGUGUAGCAGCUGGAGCUUCAUUCCACAGGCAGAUAGGGUGCUUGUGUCCUGAUGAAGUAAGAGAAUAUAUCUGGAAACACUUUGUGUACUGUGAAAUACUAUACAAAUGCAGGGCAGUACAAAUGUAAAUAUUAAUGUAUUUUAGUAAUAAUUUUAGCUUUUAUUUCAUCAUAUAUAAUAAUUUGUAGUGACUGGUGUGAAGUUAAAUAGAAUUAACCUAGAAUUAAUGAGUUUUGUAUUGCUCUCAUCUAUUUGAAGCAUCAGCUGUGCCUUUCAUGUUGCCUUGUGCAGCCCUGUGUAACCUCCUCUGUGCCUUUCCCAUGGAGCACUGUGUCAUAUCACAAGUAGAACUACAAGAAGAUAUUUCUCCUCAGGGCAGAGGCUGGGUCUUCCGAUUGAAUCUCCCUUCUUUCUUCAUUGAGAUCCUCUUCUUCUGGAAGCUGGUUUCACAUGGUGGCUUAGAUUUUUCCAUCUUUGUAUCUAGCACCAUUUGAAAUCAGUGUUUUAGGAGUAAGAAUUGCAGCACAGCCAAGGGUGGACUGCAGAGGAACUGCUGCUCAUGGAACUGGCUCCUCUCCUCUUGCCACUUGAGUCUGUUCGAGAAGUCCAGGGAAGAACUUGAAGAGCAAAAUACACUCUUGAGUUUGUUGGGUUUUGGGAGAGGUGACAGUAGAGAAGGGGGUUGUGUUUAAAAUAAACACAGUGGCUUGAGCAGGGGCAGAGGUUGUGAUGCUAUUUCUGUUGACUCCUAGCAGCCAUCACCAGCAUGAAUGUGUUCGUAGGGCCUUUGAGUGUGGCGAUUGUCAUAUUCUGUUGGAUAACAAUGUAUUGGGUGUCGAUUGUCAUGGGGCAGGGGAGAGGGCAGUACACCUGGAGGACCAUUUUGUCCACAUCGACACCAUCAGUCUGCUCUUAGAGGAUGCCCUGGAGUAUUCGGCGUUGAUUGCGGGGCACCCGAAAUCAGACUUGCCACCUGGACUGUCGAGGUGCAGACCCUGGGAGCACCACUGGCCCAUCUCUUACACAGGCUGACCGAUUUCUCCUGGUGUUCAGAGUCUGUUUUUGUCUAGCACCAUUUGAAAUCGGUUAUGAUGUAGGGGGAAAAGCAGCAGCCUCGAAGCCUCAUGCCAACUCUGGGCAGCAGCAGCCUGUGGUUUCCUGGAAGAUGGAUGGGCAGAGAAUAGGGAAGGAAGAUCAUGCUUUUCCCUACUAACUUCUGUAACUGCAUGUAUGAUACAUUAUUGCAGAGGUAAGAGAUAGUUUAAUGGAUUUUUAAAAACAAAUUACUAUAAUUUAUCUGAUGUUCUCUAGUUGCAUUUUGCUGAAAUGUAGUGCUGUUCUAAAUUCUGUAAAUUGAUUGCUGUUGAAUUAUCUUUCUGUUGAGAAGAGUCUAUUCAUGCAUCCUGACCUUAAUAAAUACUAUGUUCAGUUUAUCAUGUCUGUGUUUUUCAUCUAUUAUUUCCCAUUCAUAAUUCUGUGAUGAUAAGAAGUGGGUCCUGAAAAAUUAAUUGGCUGUGCAGAUCUUGCCUACUUCAUAAAGAAUUUGAAGUAGGUUACAGCCAGCCAGACAUUAAAAAUGAAGCCCAUUAAGAGAAGAAUGAAAUUCUAUGAGCCAAGAAAUAAAAUGAGAGAAAAGAUUAGGGAAGAGAAGAAAUGUUGAAGAUCAAGGCUGAGGGAUGCUCCCUACUGAAUGGGAAAACUCCUUAGUUCCACAUGGGCUGUAGACACAGCCCUUCUGCCAGCAACUGUUCCUGCAAGGAACUGGUGCUCAACUAAACAUACUGUCACAUGGUUCCUUGAAGGGGCACAGCACUGAUUUCACUUGCAUUAUAAAAGAUUGAGUGGUGCUUUUGACUAUUAGUUUAUGUCAACACUUCAAAACAAGAUGAGCCAGUUUUUUUUUGUUUUUUUUUUUUGUUUGUUUGUUUGUUUUAGACGGAGUCUCACCCUGUCACCCAGGCUGGAGUGCAAUGGCACUGUCCCCGCUCACUGCAACCUCCGCCUCCCGGGUUCAAGCAAUUCUGCCUCAGCCUUCCGAGUAGCUGGGAUUACAGGCGUGGCACCUCCACGCCCAGCUAAUUUCUGUAUUUUGUAGUAGAGACGGGGUUUCAUCAUGUUGGCCAGGCUUGUCUCGAACUGCUGACCCCGUGAUCCACCCACCUCAGCCUCCCAAAGUGCUGGGAUUACAGGCGUGAACCACCUCGCCUGGCCCAGUGAGCCAGUUUUGUAAAGCUAUUCAGAGAUUAGCCAGAUUUGAUUUGAUAGGGGAUCAAGCUUGUAGGAUCUUCAGGAAGGCGGGCUGUGGCCCCUUGAUCAGGCUUUUUGCACAGGAGGUGCAUGACUAUGAACUACCCUCAGUAGAACUCUUUUAAGCCAGUGGCUUGCAAUAAAUGAUGGCAAAUCAGCCACCUAGGAAGCCAUUUCUAAGCCCAACCCCCUGCCACAGUCUUCCUCUAGAUGGCUGCCCUGCCCAGUGGGCUGAGAGUGGGGGGCGGAAGUAGCAUUUGCUGGGAAGACUUGCCAGUACAUAUGUUGCACCCCCUCACUGCAGCUGCAGUGCUAUUUCAGGCUGUUGAUGGAAGAACCCAUGUUCUAAUCCCCAGGAUGUGGUGGGAAGACCCUAAGUGGUGGUGUUAGUUAAGACCCUAAGUUAUAUUGUUUUGUUCACUUCCCACUGAGAUAGGCUACAAUAGUAUUAAAUACCUAUAGGUCAGACAUUUUUGGGGUCUGUUGUACUACCUACCAAUUAAACAGUUUUUGAUCCGCCCACCACGCUCAAAGCUCCAGCCUAGGUGUUGCAAAUACAGACGACAGAUUUUUGCUCUCAGGAGGCCCUGAUUCCAGUCCUCAAACGAGUAAGUGUGAAAUUGAGUGCAGCAUUAAAGCACAAAAACAAUGAUUUGAGACGUCUUUUCUAUAAAAGAAGUUUAUAGCACUCUCAUUGAAUGCUUAAAUAGUGCCACACUGCUAAGUCGUGAGAAGCAAAAUGUAACUGCGGUGCCUCAAACAGGAUUAUUUUGUUUUAUUCAUUUGGAUGCGGACAGCUCUUUAUCUAAAAUUGCCAUUCUGAGGUGGUUUUGCACAAUAAAUUGGUAAUUAUGUAGACUGUUUCUUCCAGAGACAGCAUCUUGAAUCGGGUUUAUGAAGCCAUGCUAUCAACCUAGGUAGAAAAUGCUUUGUAGGACAUGGGUCCUGCUUAUCUAAAUUUUACCAGAUUUUAUUAGCUGUAAAUUUAUAAGCGGGUCUUGGUGAAUAGAUAAUGAAAAAAAUAUUGAGUGGGGAGGCUUAUUAGACUGACAGCACCUUCAAGACUCAUGCAAGUUGGACUGGAAAAUCCCACCUGUGGAAGUAAAACACUGAUGAGUCCUUAAUAAAUAUGGAUGAGACAAGUCAAAUAUUUGGCCAAUUUAGGUGAAACAGAAAUAAGUCUAGAACUGGACAAUUAUUUGUGUAACAUACUGGCCCAGACCUUCACUUUGAGAAGCUGGUGUGUAGUUUCAGGAGAGUACCUGGCAGACUAGUGUGUCCAUACUUCGAUGGAGCUUGAGAGUUUUCCUUGAACACAAAAGUUGUAUUUUUGAGUUUAUUCUAGUAUGAUGGUGCCCUACCCUAUCUUCCUAUUCAGUUCACCCAAAGAGCCUUUAAAUUAGUGUUCCCUUGGUCCCAUCCCUACAGUCUCUGGUUUUGCUGGUCUGGGAAUGGGUCUGGACAUCACUGUUGUUUUAAAGUUGAGAGCCUCUCUUCUGUGGUCUUGUUCCUAAAACGCUUUACUACUCACUGUGGUCUGAGGGCCCCCAGCACUGGUGUGUUAGUUUCCUGUGGCUGCCCUAAAAAAUUACCACAAACAUGGUGUCUUAAAACAACACACAUUUGUACAGUUACAGAUUCCAGAAGCCUGCAAUCAGCUCACUGGACUGCAAGGGCCACCCGCCCUCUCAGAAGCGCCGGGAGAGAACAGGUUUUCUUGCCUUCUUCAGCUGCUAGAGCUGCGUUCUUUGGCUUGCACCCCCUUCCUCUGUCUUCCAAGCCAGCGGGGCAGUCUUUUGCUUCAGUGGCCAUGUUGUCUUCUGGCACAGUCACAUCUCCCCCUGCCUCCCUCUUAGAAGGACCCUUGUGGUUACAUUUAGGGCCCCCACCUGGAUAAUCCAGGAUAAUCUCCCUAUUUCAAUUUUCUUAAUCUCAUCUGUAAAGACCCUUUUGCCAUAUAAAGUAACAUUCACAGGUUCCAGGUAUUAGGACUUGGAUAUCUUUAGAGGCCAUCAUACAGCCCACCACAAACAGCUCCUUAGGCACUCAUUAGAAAUGCAGAACCUCAGGCCCCAACCGAUACCUUUUGAAUCUUCUGAUUCUAAUUUAAGAAGAUCACCAUGUAACUCACUAGCACACUAAGACUUGAGAAGCACGAUGCUAUGGGAACCUAACCAAAGAAUUCUCAAGUCCCAACUUAAAUACAAAUUUACAGAGUAUUUUUCCUAGGAACGCUUUCAGGUGGAGGAGAUUAAUCAGACGAUAGAUAAUUUUCCUGAACACCAUUCUGAAGUGCUUCUCUAAGCAUUUGUUCCUGAAUUCUCUCUCAAUGAAGCCACAAGCCCCAAACACCAGGAUUACUGUUUACAGGGGUUCCUGUUUACAGUAGUUUAGCACAGGGUUUGCCACACUGCAGCAUAUUAUUAUAGUUUAGUUUUGUAAAAAGCUACAUGAGAGAGGUAAAUCUUAUAAAUGGAGGUGGAGUCUCCUAACACCAGUUUUACCACCUCUGUACAGGUUUCCCUGGGCUAUGUACUAUCGAAUCAGGAAUCAGGAAGGGCGGCUUUUUCAAAUGUUAUCUAUACUUUUGGCAAUUUGUUCAAACGUUCUGCUGGUAUGUGAGAGGGAAGGAAAAAUUGUUUAUUGACCACAGAUCCACAAUAUUAUACUUCUCCUAUACUUAAGCAAUAAGGGACAGCAUUUAAAACUCUUUUAAAAAUGUUAAUCUUGGCUGGGCACAGUGGCUCAUGCCUGGAUCCCCAGUAAUUUGGAACACUGAGGCAGGCAGAUUGCUUGAGGCCAGGAGUUCGAGACUAGCUUGGGCAACAUGCGAGAGCCCGUCUCUACAAAAAAAAAAAAAAAAUACAAAAAUUAUCCAGGCAUGGUGGUGCACACCUGUAGUCCCAGCUGUUGGGGAAAGCUAAGUUGGGAGGAUCCCUUGAACCCAGGAGGUUGAGGCUGCAGUAAGCUGUGAUUGAGCCACUGAGCUCCAGCCUGGGUGACAGAGCGAGAUCCUGUGUCAAAAAAUAAUUUUGAUUUCACGGAAGGAGAAGAGGACUAGUCUUAUACCAUAUCCCAAAUGAAAUUGAAAAUGUCUUCUGGGAAUCACAGCAAUGACUCAAACUUCUGAAUAGUGACUAGGUUUGAGCUGGUAAGGAAGGGAUUGUCAAAUGCCGUGACAGUCCACAGGAGGGCAGCAGUGCUCCGAUUUACAAAGGAUUAGUCAUACUAGUGUAACCUUUUCUGAGUGAGCCUAGAAAUUCUGAUGAAAACAGUGUAGUCCAGGAAAAAAAAAAAAAAAAUCUGUAUGUACAAUCACUCAAUUUUGAAUCAUUUCUGGAAGUUAUUAGACUCCAUGUUAAAUCCUACUUAAGUACAAGUAUGCAAAAUUUAAAAAUAUGCAGAAAAGCUCAUUCUUGGUUAAAAUGUUAGCUGAAAGACAUUACUAAGUUUUAGAAUACCAUAGAGUUGACUAUUUCCCACAAACCCUAAAAUCUACUUGAACACCACAAAUUCAUAUUCCUUCUAAUCCCAAGUCCCUUCAGCAUUCUUACAGAUUUAUUGUUAGUUACCUUACAAAGUAACUAACUGUCCCCAUGUAUUUUAUCCCAAUUUAAAAAAUACAUUACAGUCUCAAGGUCACAUAAGAUUUUCCAAAAUGCUCUAUUCAUAGUCAAUAUAAUUUUCAGGCCGGGUGCGGUGGCUCAUGCCUGUAAUCCCAGCACUUUGGGAGGCCAAGGUGGGCGGAUCACCUGAGGUUGGGAGUUCGAGACCAGCCUGACCAACAUGGAGAAACCCCGUCUCUACUAAAAAUACAAAAUUAGCCAGACGCGGUGGUGCAUGCCUGUAAUCCCAGCUACUCAGGAGGCUGAGUCAGGAGAAUCGCUUGAACCCAGAAGGUGGAAGCUGUGGUGAGCCGAGAUAGUGCCAUUGCACUCCAGCCUGGGCAACAAGAUCGAAACUCCAUCUCAAAAUAUGUGUGUGUGUGUGUGUGUGUGUGUGUGUGUGUGUGUAUAUAUAUAUAUAUAUAUAUACACACACACACAUAUAUAUAUAAUUUUCACCUAGUGUUUUAUUAAACAGAAUGCUUCUGUAUUUUUAUGUUUAUUUGAGACAAUGCUUCUGUAUUUCUAAACAACAGCUAGCCUUGUUCAGUUAGCCAAACAACAAAACCUUAAUUCAAGUCUUCAAUGAAAUUUUCUGAUUUAAUAGGCUGAAUUAAGAAAGCCAUAAUUUUCUUCUAUAAAUAUAAGCCUUUAACUUCUAUCUUUACAAGUUUAUAUAGAAAAAUUUACUGUGGGGCUUGAGAUUUACUAAUGCAUGGGUUUUCAACCUUAGCUGCACUUUGGAAUCAUUUAGGACGCUUGGAAAUCCCUACACCCAAACCACAUCCCAGAUCAAUUACACUAGAAAUCUCUAGGGGUGGGACCCAGGUGUCUGUAAAUAUCCCCCGGUGAUUGCAAUGUGCAGCCAUGGUUGAGAAACACUGAAGCCUGCUCUGAGAAAUUUAGCAAUCCGACUUAAUUCAAAUCUGCAGAGAGAGCAACAAUGAUUUUUGCAGAAACAACCAAAUCCUACUAGUUACAUAAAUUUUAUACUUUGUUAGGACUUGGGUUUUUAUUUAGCUCUACAUAUGCGAUCAUAGGAUGCAGAAGAUAUAUCUUCUACUGGACACGUAUAUAUAGAUGCUUAAAUGUGGCUAUCCCAAGGUUAGGUAAUAAUAAAGACUAUAAGAGCUGGGCAGAAAUCAGGCACAGUUUCAUGAAGGGUAAUAUCUGAGCUGGGCCUUGGAAGAUGCAUAGGAUCUCAACAGGACAGUAGGUGUUUCAAGCAACAAUGAACUAGGAAUACAGCAGAAAGCACAGGGGAAAUGGUCAGGCUUGACUGAGAGUAGGUUAUUUGAAGAAGUGCAAUAGAAAAUGCUUGGGGAAGAAAGUUGGGAUUUAAUUGUAAAAGGUCUUCAAGUAUCAGGCUAAGAAAUGUGGACUUCAUCCAGUAGGUAAUGUGAUGUCACUGGAUAUCUGUGCAGUAUCUAUGUGAUGGGUUGGGAGUGGAGAAGCCUGGGGAUACUUAAGGGUCUGAGCUAGGAGGGACAGGAGGAAUGGCUGUGGGAGUGGAAUGGUUAGAAGAUGGGCCCAAUUAGAAACAUACUUCAAUUUGAGACAAAACCCACUAGAAAUAAACACAUCAUCAUGAAACAUCUCCAAAUGUACAAU
rnacentral:lncRNA from 1 species